rnacentral:rRNA from 1 species
GACGUAGGUGGCGAACGUUAUCCGGAAUUAUUGGGCGUAAAGGGUGCGUAGGUGGCCUGACAAGUUAUCAGUGGCAAAUCGAGGCUCAACCUCGUGGAAACUGGUAAUACUGUCCGGCUUGAGUGCAGGAGAGGUUAAUGGAACUCUAUGUGGAGCGGUAAAAUGCACAGAUAUAUAGAUGAACAUCAAUAACGGCGAAGGCAGUUAACUAUUCUGUUCACUGACACUGAGGCACGAAAGCGUUGGGGAGCAAAACGGGA